GGCUAUAGCCCACCUGUUUUUGUGGCCUUUUUCCGUUGGACGAACUUGGCGCCCCGGCCUUCGGGCAGUUAUUUUUGGGCGCGGGUUUGCCCGCGGCUUAUUUUUGGCACACAGAGGCCCCACGCAAAGUCUCGCGGCAUUCCGAGUCCGGCGGACGAAGUUGGUCAGCCCCAGCCCCCAAGGCUAUAGCCCACCCGUUUUUGUGGCCUUUUUCCGCUGGACGAACUUGGCGACCCGGCCUUCGGGCGGUUAUUUUUGGGCACGGCUUUGCCCGCAGCCUAUUUUUGGUACACGGAGGACCCUCGCAAAGUCUCGAGGCAUUCCGAAUCCGGCAGACGAAGUGGGCCAGCCCCACCCCCCGAGGGUGUAGCCCACCCGUUUUUGUGGCCUUUUUCCGCUGGACGAACUUGGCGCCCCGGCCUUCGGGCUGUUAUUUUUGGGCGCGGCUUUGCCAGCGGCCUAUUUUUGGCACACGGAGGUCCCUCGCAAAGUCUCACGGCAUUCCGAGUCCGGCGGACGAAGUGGGCCAGCCCCACCCCCCAAGGCUAUAGCCCACCCGUUUUUGUGGCCUUUUUCCGCUGGGCGAACUUGGCGCCCCGGCCUUCGGGCGGGUAUUUUUGGGUGCGGCUUUGCCCGGGGCCUAUUUUUG
rnacentral:lncRNA from 1 species